AAAAAAAAAGCACAGUAGUCCUCAUUUCCUUCUCAAGUUUAAGCUAUUCCUUUCUCACACCCAUUUCAAAUAGGUCUUUGGUCACAACUAUCUGGAUAGUUUUCUAAGGCAGUAACUCCCAAAAAGUUGCCCACCAGACAUCCAAAGUAUUCAGAAGAACUUAAAAAUACAAAUUCCUAGGAUUGAUGCCUAAAAGAUUCUAAUUUAGUAAGUCUGGAAUAGGACCCAAGAUUUUUUAUCUGUCAAAUAAUCAGGUUUGCUAACCACUGCUCCCAAGUUAACACGGUUGAACAUUACUUAAUUUCAUGACUCCCAAACUACUAACCCCUUCCUGUAUACAGAAUACAUAACCCACCAAAAAAUAAUAAACUGUCCACCUAAGCCAGCUAUCUUUAUAACCUGUUUCUUAAAAGGACAAUUUCAGCCAACCAUCCCAAUAGAAAUUUAGUAUCUGAAUCACUUAAGCACAAGGCUCCACUCUCUCAAUGAAGCACAUCCUAAGUAACAGGUGCCCUCUAUUUACUAUACUUCCAUUCUGAUGCAAUCAGUUUUCAAGUAGUGGAAUCAUGGCAGUGUACCUCACCAAAAUCAAUCUGCUGCUGAUUUCUGUUCAUGCAGGAAAAUGCUAGAAGCAGCAGGUAAAAAUCAUUUAAAGUAAUUGUCCAUUUGCAUUAGGAUAAAUACUGUUUUUCAGCAAAGACUUAAUACCUGUGGUUUUAACCUUUUAGAAGAAAAUGACCCACUUCAAAGGGGUAAUAUUUAAAGAACAAGAAGAAGAAACGUAAAAAUCCAGCGGAAUAGAUAAAAGGCAAAUAUCUAUUUAUCUAUUUAAAUAAGAACUAACAUGAGAAUAAAAAUGAAGUCGGAAAAACACAAAUCCUUGAAGUGCUAUAAACCACUAUUUAAAGACAAUACACAAACUUCUAAAAUUAAAAUAAGUAGUGGAUUUUGCUUAUACAUACAUAGGAGAAUAUGCAAACAAACAUUAGCUGAAAAAGAGCCAGCUUACCUCCAAGACUAAGCCUAAAAUAACUGCUCAGGAUGUCAUCACAAAAGCGACAGAGGUUGGAGAGCUGUUUCAGAUGUUCUUGUAGCUGAACUUUAGGAAACCGUACUUUGUAAAGAGGUGCAAGAAAACCAAAAACAUAGGCAUCCAAGGUAGAAGGCCUAGAAAUAAAUUAAGGAUUUUUAAAGCACAUAAGACAAUAUUAACUGAAGGCCGGGUGUGGUGGCUCAUGCCUGUAAUCCCAGUACUUUGGGAGAUCAAGCGGGGGCAGAUCACUUGAGGUCAGGAGUUCCAGAUAAGCCUGGCCAACAUGGUGAAACCCUGUCUCUACUAAAAAUACAAAAGAAGUCGGGCGUGGUGGUGGGCACCUGUAAACCCAGCUACUUGGGAGGCUGAGAAACCAUGUCGUCUUCAGUUGUCAAAAUUGGUACAUCGCCUAUAAUCAAAAAACAGUUUACAUACAAGGACACAGUGUGAUUUCCUCUGAGAGAUUCCAAUAUCCUAAAAACUAUAGCAGUUGCACAUUUAGAGGGGAAAAAAUGAGUAAGCUUGUCUUGGUUUUUUUGCUGUUUCACAAAGAGCGGUUCUAAAGAACAUUUUCGUUUCUCAUAAUUUCCAGUGAUUUCGCUUGCACUUUGAGGUAUUACUCAGAAUGAUCAAACCAUAAACAACACAGAGCCAAGGUCACGGUAAGAAACUAAAUCCUCAAUAUUAUAGCUAUAUACCUCACAGCUUUAAAUGGAAGAAGAAAAAAAAGAGUGCAGAAAGGGGAGUGUAAAGGUUUACACUAUACCUCUUGAACCUCUCCAGGUGUUAUCUAUCACAUUGACUUUCAAGGGUGCACCAGAAAAUUUGGCAUAAGCCUGAAACAGAGUUUGCAAUCAAACAUUUUAGACCAAGUGCGUAAUGCAAAGCUGCAGAGCAGCUUUACUUCACAGCCCCAUCCCCCAAAGGCAGAAGGCGACUGAUACUGAGGCCGCAUCCCUCCCCGUGAUCUCAAGUAGGGACGCGGGCGCCAGCCACCCGGCUUUCGAGGACUUUGCUCCCCAAAAGGUCCUGGGGAUGCAGAGUAGGGAGGGCGCGCCCCUUGCUUCGGGGUUUCACUCCACCGCCCAGACAGCUUUGUGAGGCGGACAAAACUCGGAGCCAAGCGGAGAAGCCUUGAUGUCGCCGCCGGCCUUCGGCGGGGGUAUCGGCCAGGUUGGGACUCGUCGGUGGGAGGGAGCCCAGGGCAAUGCAGCGUGCAGCGGCUCGGCCCUCCUGGACCCCGCAGCGCAGCGGGAAACUGGGGCAAGUCAGCCUGGCGCCUCCAGCCCCGCCCCUUCCUCCUGCGCCCUGGCCCGCGAGGCGGCCUCACCAUCACCACCAGGGACUCGCUGUGAACCGAUGGGAGUCCCCAGCCGCCUCCCCAGCAACUGAGUUCCAAGGGGGCCGCCAUCUUGC
rnacentral:lncRNA from 1 species